GCAGCAGUUAGGACUGCCAGUGUCCUGUCUUGUCCCACCAUUUCCAGAAACCAGAUGGGAUGGAAAUCCCACGUUUAUUUAAAAGUCCCAGGAAUCAGCGGGGUAGGACAGGCUGGGAGGCAGGGCCUGGCCCAGCUGGAGCCACUCGCCAAUCCUGAGGCUGGUGUGGACUCACAGGUGACAGGGCCCCCAGGGCUGGGCACUCAGGCAGGCUAGGCUCAGGUUUUGUUUUGGUCACUGUCCUGGGGACCCUCCUCUUUGGCUCCCCGCUUUCACCUCUCCCCCUAGGCCAGCUCUGAAGAGGAAGGUGGGUCAGAGCCAGCCCCAGGGGGCCUGGCUCCUCCCUCUUCACCACCUCCCUUUCAGUCUUCCAACCACAAGGAUUUUCCCUUCCUUCCUGGGAAGUCAGUCCUGGGUCCGCGUUCAAACUCUGGGGCCACACUGUUGUCCCAGCCCUGUAGUCACCAAAACCCAGCGGGCCGAGCCUCCUGAACGUGAAAGCCUUCUGCGUUGUUGACAGCCACCCUUCAGAGGCUAGUUUUCCUUCCUGCGUCUUGCCUCCCUCCCGGCUCCACGGCCCCCUAGCCCAGGCCUCAACCCUUUCCCUUCCUCAGGCGCCUGAAGCAACAACCCUCCUGCCCUCCCCACCCCCCCAACAAUCUGAUCACCUCUGGAAACGGGGGUUUCUUCUGAUGCCCACCCGGUACCCUUCCGUGGCUCCCCGCGGCUCUCUGGAUGGAGACCGUGUUCUCCUAACAGCCCACAAGGCCCAUCUUGGACCUCCCCAUGCCCUCCCUCACCACCCUCCUCUUCCCCCUUAUCCUCUCCUUCCGGGGAGCAUAGCCCUUCCGUGAACAAGACUGCCCCAGCCUCCUUGCAGGCGAACAGCCCCAAACUCCAGAGAGGCUCUUCAUCCUCUCCUGAAGGCAGGUGUGGGGGGUGGUCUGAGUGCUCUUAGGAUCGGCCCACCUGCACCCAGGGGCCCGCCUGCCCACCUACCUGCCUGCCUUUGUGUGUGGCCACCCGAGAUCUCAUGGAGGGCUUCAGGGCUGUGAUGCCCUUAAUGGGGUUGUAGCUGAGACUCAGCUGGCUUAGGCCAGGUGUCUGUCCACCAGCACCUCCAGGCCCAGGCUGAGGCAGGUAUCGCCGAGCGCCAGCUGUGGGGCCAGGUGGGCCAUCAGGGGACCCUGGGGCUCCAGGCCCCCUCAGAGCUCUCCUCUUCUCUGCCAUGAGCCUUGGAACCAGGACUCUGAUCCUGGAGAAGAUUCAACCUCCCCACCUCUUUGUUAGUCCUUAAGAUGGGUGUCGUGAUGCUUGCUCACUCCCUGGAAUCCUUGUGAAGAUUCAGAGGGACCAGGUGAGGGGGGACACUAUGCAAAUGUUUCUGAGUGAUUCACAUCCCUCUGCCCACCAAGCCCAUGCGGCCAAACUGAUUCCACAGAUGGUCCCCCCUCCCCCAACCACAAAAUGCCUGACAGCUGAGUCCUCGUGGGGCCCCGGCUCCGCCCAGCAGAGGGCGCCCAGGAGUGUCCAUCUGAAGGGACAGGGAAAGACAACAAGCGCGUCCCUGCAGGCGUCCACUUGGCCUGGCUGCCCCCACUGCGGGGACAGGUUGGUAAGAGACUGCGGGUCACGUGGAAACACUGAGCCUCUGCAGGCGGCUUACGUCAGCCGUGAGGCCGGCCAGGUACCCGCCCACCGCCUGGCAGUUGUCGACCAUGCUCCGUCACCAGACUGAGAGGGGAAAUGGAGGCUCCUGGGCACGUGUCCCGGAGCCCUGCCUCUGACAUGGAUCCGAGCACCCCCAUCCCGGGCCCCUGGCUCCUCCGAGCGCCCCGUGGCCCCAGGAUGGGCUGCCCACGUGCUCAGUCCUCUUCCACUGCGUGCACUGGGACCACGUGCACGGCUCAGCCUGGCCUCCACCGCCGUGUCCAUCCCCUACUCCACCCCCACCUCCGACCAGGGCAGCCAGGUGCACGGCUGAACGUGCCCACUCUGCCCCUGUCCCUGCCCCCCCACCCCCACCGUGUGCUCGGAACCGGUACCCUUCCCUAAACCAGGGUUCCAGACGCUGGUCCCAGCAGACACCUCCCCACCCCCACAACUCCCCAAGGCGGACUGAGGCCCGCGUGUUCACUUCGGGGGUUGGUCCCCGCAGCUCCGUUUGUGGACCCGCCUGUCCAAGUUCAUGGCUUCGCUGUGCAGACCAGCCUGCGGCCACUGGAAAGGCUCCAAACACCAAGGGUAGUUGGGGGAAUGCCCAUAAGGGGGGCUGUGGGAAAAUAGGGCUCUCCAGGGUGGAGCCCUCCCAACUGCAAAAUCCAGAGUCCCCACGGAGUGGCUGGCCCUGGAGCCUGGGGAGUCACCAGAUUGUCACCAGUGCCUAGUCCUUUGGCUUUGCCCUGGAUUGGGCACCUACUGUGUGUUUCUGGCCAAUAAUCGCUUUUUCUUUCAUUCGUUUCCCUCUCUCACCAAACACUGGGAGUGUCGGUCACCCGGAGACCCAGGGAGGACCCACAUCUCAUCACCCCUGAUCCCCCAGGACUCCUGAGGGGACCCACAUUCUGGGAAUGUGACCUAGGGUGCAUGUCUGCCCGUGCAGUGGUGAGGAUGGGCGGGCACAGAGGUUCCAGAAUCCUCAAGCUGUGCAUCUUAGGCGCGAACGAGUCAUUUCCGACCAUGCGGCCGGUGGCCUCCACGGCAGGGCGGCCACUGAACGGCUCCAGCUGGGAAUGCAGCCCCCUCAAGACAAACCUCCCGUGUCCUCCUACACCCUCGCUACUCUGGGACAUCACCUAGGGUAUCUAGGAAUCUGAGGCUCCACCACAGACCUGGGGCAGAACCUGCACUUUAAUGGGGUCUCAGGGUGACCCGUGGGCACAUUAGAAUCCCCCUCGGAGUGUUUAAGAAACCCCCAGGCGCAGGCCAAUUAAGUCAGAAUCUCCAGGAGCUUCCUUCCAUCUUUCUGUAAAAGCCAUUCCCGUGUAUUGCCAAACACAAUCAGGGCUCUGCACUCUCCCAGGAGGGAUCUUCUCCCCUGGUCUGCGCGCCUGACCCUAACAAGCGCUGGCUUUGCCCCUCCCUUCACCCCCUCUUCACUGGUCUCCCCGCUGUCUCCAUUUUCUUCCCACCCUCUUCUGGACACCUAGGGUGUCCUCAGACUCCCUCCCUCCCCAGCAGGCAAGGCCCUAUGUACUAGCCACCCGCCCCCCCCCCCCAUCUGCCAUCUGGGCUGGGCCCCCUGUCCACCACGGUGUCCGUGGCCCAUGUGACAGACAGCUGCCCCCACAAUAGGGAAGUCCUGCUCAGAGCUGAGAAUCCGUGGGGAAGUGUGGAAAUGAGGCAGGCGGAUGAGGCAACAAGAGCCGGCAGAAGGACCUCCCUCAUCACGCUCCCCCAACUCCUUGGUCUCCCGGCCCAGAGCUGACCAUGCCCCUUACCCACAGAGAACUCGCCCUCCCGAGGAGUCCUCCCUGGAGACCAGAAGUCAGCCAGCCCCCAGAACUAGAGAGUCCAGAAACUAGUGACCGUGUGGGGCAUGUGCUGACGGCCGAUGCCCAAAGCCACGGAGAGACAGCAGCAGGCGGGACGGGAACUCAAAUGCCAGGCAGGAUCUGGGGGCAGGCAGAGGCUGUCUCCGCCUCCUUUCCUUCCUCCUCUGUCCUCCCCACCCCGCCAUCAGCCCCCACCCCCGUGGGGCCCGUGGAGCAGAAGCCACAGUCACUUCCUGAAGGCAGCGGCCCAGCUCAGGUCCCACUCGCCCUGUGGCCCAUCACCCGCCUGUAGCCAUGGGGAGCCAUCAGGACUUCCGGAGCCUUCAAGCAAAGUUCCAGGCCUCUCAGCUCGAGACCAGUGAACUCCCCAAAAAACCGCUGAAGCCUGAGUUCCACAAACCCCUAAAGAAGCUUCCAACAGCUGAGCUAAGCGAGCACCCCAAAAAGCCCCCGCAGCCCGAGUUCAAUGCAGUGCCCAGGAGGCCUUCGCAGCCCAGUUUCGCCGAUCUGCCCAGGAAGCCCUCCAAACCCGAGUUCAGUGAACCCUCCAAGAAGUUCCCGCAGCUCGGGGCCCCUCAAAAGGCCUUGCCCCCUCCAGAGCCCAAAUCCAGCGCCUUCCCCAAAAAGCUACAGCAGCCUGAGCCCAACGAGGCCACCCCAGACCCCUCACAGCCCAACUUCAGUACCCUCCCCAAGAAGCCCCCGCAGCCUCAGGUCGGUGAGCUCCUUAAGAAGGGCCUGCCGCAGCCUGAGUCCAGUGAGGUCCCUCAGACACCCCCCUGGAAGGUGGAGACUGGUGAGCCCCACCCCCACCCCUCAAAGCCUGACUUCAGUACCCUCCCGAAGAAGCCCCCACAGCCUGAGUUCGGUGGGCACCCCAGAAAGCCCCCGCAGCCUCAGGUCGGUGAGCUCCCUAAGAAGUGCCUGCCGCAGCCUGAGUUCAGUGAGGUCCCUCAGACACCCCCUUGGAAGGUGGAGACUAGUGAGCCCCACCCCCACCCCUCAAAGCCUGACUUCAGUACCCUCCCCAAGAAGCCCCCACAGCCUGAGUUCGGUGGGCACCCCAGAAAGCCCCCGCAGCCUCAGGUCGGUGAGCUCCCUAAGAAGUGCCUGCCGCAGCCUGAGUUCAGUGAGGUCCCUCAGACACCCCCCUGGAAGGCUCAGUCCAGUGAGCUCCACCCCCACCCAUCACAGCCUGACUUCAGUACAUUUCCCAAGAAGAUCCCAGCCCCUCAGCUGAGUGACCUCCCCAAGAAGCUCCUGCACCCUGAUUUUGGAGACCUCACCAGGAGGUCCUCAGAGCCGGAAGUCAGUGUGGUUCCCAAGAGGCCACGGCAGUCCGAAUUCAAAGCACCUUCCAAGAAGCCCCUGCAGCCUGAGCCGGGGGGCCUCCCCAGGGUGGCCUCAGAGCCUGAGUUUGGCCUACUCCCCAGCAAGUUCCUGCAGCCUGAGUGCCAGGGGCCCCCCCGCAAGUUCUCACAGCCCGAGCCCAGUGCUCUGCCCAAGAAGCGCCCGCAUGCCGAGUUCUUUGGUGAUCUUCCCAGAAAGCCCCCUCUCCCUGGCUCUGUUUCGGAGAGCUCGCUCCCCACUGCUGUCGCGGGCCCCGGCCCCAGGCUCCCACUCAGUCUCACUCACAGUGGACGUUCGAGGCUGGGCCUCAAACAGGGCCACCCGCCCCGGCGGAGGCCUCUGCCCCCUGCCAGCAGCCUGGGACCCCCUCCAGCCAAGCCCCCGCUGCCCCCAGGCCCCAGGGACGUUCAGAGCUUCCGGAGAGCCGCAGCUGCAGCCACAGCUCUGAGGAGGGCUCGUUCUGCUGCUGCCAUCCACUUCCAGGAGCAACAGACGAAAGACAUCCCGCAGGACCAGGAUGAGAUCUACGAGCUGUAUGACGACGUGGGGCCCACGGACCACUCCGGCCCCAGCGGCGAGGGCAGAGAUGGGGUGCCAUCUACCCAGCAACCCCCCAGGCCGCCACAAGACCCAGAGCUCAGGAAGGAGAAGGCCCCCCAGCCACAGCAGUUGCCACCUGCAGACCUCAAGUCUCUGAAGCAGAUCCGGAAGGCAGAGAAAGCCGAGAGGGAGUUCCGGAAGAAGUUCAAGUUUGAGGGGGAGAUAGUGAUUCAGACAAGGAUGAUGAUCGAUCCCAAUGCCAAGACGCGUCGCGGGGGUGGCAAGUACCUGGGGAUCCGGCGUGGGGAGAUCCUAGAGGUGAUCGAGUUCACCAACAAGGAUGAGAUGCUGUGCCGGGACACCAAGGGCAAAUAUGGCUACGUGCCCAGAACAGCUCUACUGCCCCUGGAAACGGAGGUGUAUGAUGAUGUUGGCUUCUAGGGUAUGUAGAUGCUCUAGGUGGGCUGGAAGGGAUCACGGUGCCUGGAAGGAGACCCUCUGGAGAGCCAUCCAUUCCCCAGGGGACAGUAAGGCCCACAGGUGUGGGUACCCAGGACAACCUGCCCGCCCAGCCACCUGCUAAACCAGGAGCCUUGGAUCCCAGCUUGGCAGUCACAGAACCAUCCAGGCUGGUGCCUGACUACAUGCAUGAACCACAUAAAGCUCCUACUUAAAGCGA